rnacentral:lncRNA from 1 species
UGAUCGAUUCUUUUGAUAUGCGUAAAAUUAGAGCAAAUCAAUGCUGGAUUAGUGAUGUGUGUUGAAUGAUGAAUCGAUUGAUAUAAUUUUCAUGCAUUUCUGUGCAAUUUGGAUCAUGAUGAUUAUGAGCAUGAUGAAGAUGAUGAUGAACAUUAGGUUUUCGUGUCCAGAAUUCUUUUGAUCUGCCUGGCCUAUGUUUUGCAUGUGUUUCGUGGUUUUUGUCCCAUGCACCUA